CGGCGCACGGGUGAGUAACACGUAUCCAACCUGCCGUCUACUCUUGGACAGCCUUCUGAAAGGAAGAUUAAUACAAGAUGGCAUCAUGAGUCCACAUGUUCACAUGAUUAAAGGUAUUCCGGUAGACGAUGGGGAUGCGUUCCAUUAGAUAGUAGGCGGGGUAACGGCCCACCUAGUCUUCGAUGGAUAGGGGUUCUGAGAGGAAGGUCCCCCACAUUGGAACUGAGACACGGUCCAAACUCCUACGGGAGGCAGCAGUGAGGAAUAUUGGUCAAUGGGCGAGAGCCUGAACCAGCCAAGUAGCGUGAAGGAUGACUGCCCUAUGGGUUGUAAACUUCUUUUAUAAAGGAAUAAAGUCGGGUAUGCAUACCCGUUUGCAUGUACUUUAUGAAUAAGGAUCGGCUAACUCCGUGCCAGCAGCCGCGGUAAUACGGAGGAUCCGAGCGUUAUCCGGAUUUAUUGGGUUUAAAGGGAGCGUAGAUGGAUGUUUAAGUCAGUUGUGAAAGUUUGCGGCUCAACCGUAAAAUUGCAGUUGAUACUGGAUAUCUUGAGUGCAGUUGAGGCAGGCGGAAUUCGUGGUGUAGCGGUGAAAUGCUUAGAUAUCACGAAGAACUCCGAUUGCGAAGGCAGCCUGCUAAGCUGCAACUGACAUUGAGGCUCGAAAGUGUGGGUAUCAAACAGGAUUAGAUACCCUGGUAGUCCACACGGUAAACGAUGAAUACUCGCUGUUUGCGAUAUACAGCAAGCGGCCAAGCGAAAGCGUUAAGUAUUCCACCUGGGGAGUA
rnacentral:rRNA from 1 species